GGCCUGUUAGCUCAGCCAGGUUAGAGCACCUGACUCUUAAUCAGGGUGUCGGGGGUUCAAAUCCCCCACAGGCCA
rnacentral:tRNA from 1 species